AUUGAACGCUGGCGGCAGGCCUAACACAUGCAAGUCGAGCGAGCGGCGGACGGGUGAGUAAUGUCUGGGAAACAGCCUGAUGGAGGGGGAUAACUACUGGAAACGGUAGCUAAAACCGCAUAACAUAAGAUGUGCCCAGAUGGGAUUAGCUCGUAGGUGGGGUAAUGGCUCACCUCGGUGACGAUCCCUAGCUGGUCUGAGAGGAUGACCAGCCACACUGGAACUGAGACACGGUCCAGACGCCUACGGGAGGAAGCAGUGGAGAAUAUUGCACAAUGGGCGCAAGCCUGAUGCAGCCAGGCCGCGUGUGUGAAGAAGGCCUUCGGGUUGUAAAGCACUUUCAGCGGGGAGGCGUUACCCGCAGAAGAAGCACCGGCUAACUCCGUGCCAGCAGCCGCGGUAAUAC
rnacentral:rRNA from 1 species